CUUGUCUUGUCUCCAGGAUCAUGCUUAUUGACAUAUUUGAGAAGUUUGAUCUCAUCAAGGCAAGGUCUCCAGAAGCUCCAACUACAGUUAUACUAAGGUUUGAUCCUGUGGAUUCAGAGUCUGAAAAGGAAAAUGAUUCUUCAACUUGUUGAGGCUGACCAUCUUCUUUGGCCAUUGAACUUCCAGCUAAACCUGCAUAAAUAUUUUAAUAUAUGACUUUAGCUAAACAUUUUAUCGCUGUAACACUAUAACUAUAACUUCAAUCAAAUAUUGCACUAAUAUUUACCAGUCAUAUAAACACUUAUUGCAAACAAGUAAAUGAGUCAGCAACAUAUAGGACAUGAGGACAGAGACCAAGAUGUUUAAGGAGCAGAUGACACAGAAUGAUGUGAUCCAAUGACAAACCAAAAACAAAAGAAACUAGAAUUAUAUAGAUAUACCAAUAACAUCCACAAUUUAAUGUGUAUGAUGAGGACGAAACAAAAGACAUAUAGUUGCAUAAGCUGAUUUAAGUAUAAGUAGACAGUAUGAGAGAAUAGGUUCCAAACAACAACAAACAAAAGAGGGAAAAGGAAAAGGAAAAAAAGAAGCCACCACAACGAUGUAUUGAACAUUCAAGAUAACCAUACCUCGGAAACUCCAACUAGGUGCUUCAUGAGGGUUUUAUAGACUCCUGUUGCAGAGCCAAGCUGAGCUAAAUAAGCCAUCAUAAAUAGCAGAUGAGGAAUCAUCUUAGAAGAAGAAAUAGUAUAUAUAUAAACUAACUUUAGGCAUAGACUAAAAUAUGCAGCUGAGUUUUUUUGGUUAUUAUCAUAUCAUAAAUAUGAUGCAAAUUUAGUUUCAUUUCAGGGUGUGUGAGAUAUGAUAGAUCAGAUGUUGCCAAUUAGGAAUUUGUGUCAUAUCCUAAUUAUUGGCAAUGGUAAUUAACAUUUACAAAAUUCACAUUCAGAAAUUUUGUCAGAUGCUAAUUAUUGGCAAAAGUAUAAGGGCAUGUCAUAGGAUUAGGAUUAUUGUCUUCAAGGUAGGAGCAGACAGAGAAGCCAGACCUGUUUUUUGGUGACAAUGUACACUCUUGAGCUUGCAAAUUUUAAUGCAUCAGUAAUACCAAGAUAGAAUCUGGAGGUAAAUCAUCCACAAAUUAACAAUCUGAACUUUAAAAUUCAUAACAAGAUAUGUUUAUUUAGUAAGAAGGUGCAGAUUUGCAUGUAGAGCUCAAGAUACUUGUGUAAGAACAAAAUCUUAUUUUAAUGUAAGAUACUUGACAAUAUUUCGUACUAAAUAGAGUAUCAUUGAAGAACAACAAUUUGUUAAAAUUUUGCGGCACUGUAACGCUAUAACAUUUUA
rnacentral:lncRNA from 1 species